UACAGAGGUGGCAAGCGUUGUUCGGAAUUACUGGGCGUAAAGGGCGCGUAGGCGGCCACCGCAAGUCAAUUGUGAAAUCUCCGGGCUUAACUCGGAAAGGUCAACUGAUACUGCGGGGCUAGAGUGCGGAAGGGGCAACUGGAAUUCUCGGUGUAGCGGUGAAAUGCGUAGAUAUCGAGAGGAACACCUGCGGCGAAGGCGGGUUGCUGGGCCGACACUGACGCUGAGGCGCGAAAGCCAGGGGAGCGAACGGG
rnacentral:rRNA from 1 species